rnacentral:rRNA from 1 species
UACGAAGGGGGCUAGCGUUGCUCGGAAUCACUGGGCGUAAAGCGCACGUAGGCGGAUUGCUAAGUCAGGGGGUGAAAUCCUGGAGCUCAACUCCAGAACUGCCUUUGAUACUGGCGAUCUUGAGUCCGGGAGAGGUGAGUGGAACUGCGAGUGUAGAGGUGAAAUUCGUAGAUAUUCGCAAGAACACCAGUGGCGAAGGCGGCUCACUGGCCCGGUACUGACGCUGAGGUGCGAAAGCGUGGGGAGCAAACAGG